rnacentral:snRNA from 1 species
GUGCUUGCUUUGGCAGCACAGAUACUAAAAUUGGAACGAUACAGAGAAGAUUAGUAUGGUCCCUGCGCAAGGAUGACAUGCAAAUUCGUGAAGCGUUCCAUCUUUUU